GACGAACGCUGGCGGCGUGCUUAACACAUGCAAGUGGAGCGACGAACCAGGGCUUGCCCUGGGGCAGAGCCGCGAACGGGUGCGUAACACGUGGGUAACCUGCCUCGAUGAUCGGGACAACCCGGGGAAACCCGGGCUAAUACCGAAUGUGCUCCGACCACAUCAGUGGACGGCGUAAAGGAAGCUUCGGCCUCCGCAUCGAGAUGGGCCCGCGGCCCAUUAGCUUGUUGGUGGGGUAAAGGCCCACCGAGGCUUCGAUGGGUGGCUGGUCUGGGAGGACGAUAAGCCACACUGGGACUGAGAGGCGGCCCAGACUCCUACGGGAGGCAGCAGUGGGGAAUCUUGCGCAAUGCGCGAAAGCGUGACGCAGCAACGCCGCGUGGGGGAAGACGGCCUUAGGGUUGUAAACCCCUUUCAGGAGGGACGAAGGUCGGCGCGUUAAUAGCGUGUCCGACUGACGGUACCUCCACAAGAAGCCCCGGCUAACUACGUGCCAGCAGCCGCCGUAA
rnacentral:rRNA from 1 species